rnacentral:rRNA from 1 species
GGGUGCGAUCAUACCAGCGUUAAUGCACCGGAUCCCAUCAGAAUUCCGCAGUUAAGUGCGCUUGGGCUAGAGUAGUACUGGGAUGGGUGACCUCUCGGGAAGUCCUAGUGU